CUAUUUGCAUUUUGGUAAAAACUGGAUUAUAAUAUAAUUGCUUUCUAGCUAUAGUAAUAAACGUUAUUUGGAAUAGGAGAGCCGGACCCGGGGGCGGUACCCGGCGCCUCCACCAUUUUUAUGGGGGCGAAUUAGCAUCGACGGGCUCAAUAAAGGAAUAAUUUUUACUCAGUAUGAUUCCGCUGAAAACUUAAUUUUAAGUUUUUGGGUCAAAAAAGUAAAUGCAAACGAUAAUCAUCGUAUGGCAGCAGUUGCGUAAGCAACUUAGCUGACAGGGCUUUUAGAGUGUGCCUCGUAACAGAAACACUCUAACU
rnacentral:tmRNA from 1 species